GGAGAGAUGGCUGAGUGGUUGAUAGCUCCGGUCUUGAAAACCGGCAUGGUUCUUUACUAUCGAGGGUUCGAAUCCCUCUCUCUCCU
rnacentral:tRNA from 1 species